rnacentral:lncRNA from 1 species
CAGCAACAUGUAAACUGAUUCAAAUUACAACGUUUGUAGCAGCCCUAGGGACUAAACACGGAUAAAUGAACUGAAAUACCUAAAGCAUUCUGAAAUGAUUAGCGACUUUAAAUUACCAAAAGGCCAUGAUCCAGUUUUAGAAUGAUUGGAAUUUAUGACAUAACUAAACCUUUAACCAAUUUAAACCAAUAACAAAUGUUUUUAAACAACCAUGCCUUAAUUGCAGCAGCCCUAAUAAACUAGUGUGUUUCAAUACUAAUGACUUCUUUGAAUUCGUAAUUUUAAAUUAACACAUGACACAUGAUUAACAAUCCCAAACUAAUUCAAAACUAACACUGCUAAGAACAAUCCUCAGAUGACCGUGAUUUCAAAACUGAACUACUGAAGUUAUUAAUAAAAAAACGUUAUCAUGCCUGGACUCAACAUAAACAGUGGCCGACGUACUGAUUUUCAACUCAGUUUCUAGUUGUUAAUACAAAUGAAGAUCAUAGAUCUCAAAAUCAUAUUCCUGUUCCAGCUAUUCUUCUAAUUUUAGAAGUUAAACUACACAAAACAAAACUAUACUAUAAUAAGGCUAAUGAAUAGUCAUUAAUCUAACAGUCCAAACAGUCCAUUACAAAUACAUUAAUGGCAAUAAAUACAUCAAACAAAUCUUAGAACUACUCGUAGUACAAUAGACUAUUAGAGUAGUAAAAUCUGCAACAGAGAUCAGGCAGCAAUUGCAUUUCAAUUUCACUGGAGAGGUUACAUCAGAUCAGUCUCAAAGCGUGUACCUGAAGUAGAAUAAAACGUAAGAGAGGAAGAGAAUCAAUAGCAGCAGACAGGCAGCCAAAAUAUCAACUCAAAAUAAGGUGUAUAGUCCAGCAAAUAACAUCAAAACUCAGGAAGCAAUUUGCAGAAUUUCAAAACCAGCACAUACACUCAAUAGAUCUGACUGAACCCUGAAUCUUAAGAACUAAAAAGAGCUUUCGAAUUCCAGAUGUAGUUUUGGAUCUAAAAUUCAAAUUUUAGCUUGUAGAGACUUGUGGUAUAUUUGGGGGGGGGUGGGGGGUGGGGGGGAUUUUCAGAUGCUGAAACUUGUGAAUUAAGGAAGUACCUACUGCUUUUUAUAGGCAAAGGUUGAGGGGGUUUUCUGAUUUUUGUUUUCUACCUUAGCCCCUCUUAUAUUUUUAGCGUUUUAACCAAUUAGUUCCUUAUUUACUGACUUGUGUCUCAAGUCACUACACUUAUUUUGUUAAUUUCAACUUUAAACCCCUUCUAGAAGGUCCUAAGGAAUUUCAGUAUCAAUUAUUAAAGAUUCUCUACCCUUGAAUUACCGCAAUUACCCCUGCUUUAUUCUGAGAUUUACUAACCUAGCCCUAACUGAACUCAGCCCCUUUACCUUAGUCAGAAUUUGCCUAUAGUCACUCAAAGAUUUGGAAUUAUUCAGCUAUAUCCAAACAACUAAUAAAAAUCCCAAUAACUGAACUAAGAAUUAACCCUAAUUAAUACUAGUAUUCUGAAGCUAAUUCUAUCACUAAAUUAAUGAAGCAGUAAAAUAUCAAUUAAAAAUAUUAAGAAUCAAGUAAACAAAACAGUAACACUAUGAUUAAUCAAAUCUAUUUUCUUACUCCUACAUUAAUAAACUAUGGGCAAACAUCAAUGAAACAGGAAUCCAAACACUAAGUCACACCAAAUCAAGGAGAAAAUUCUAAACCUAAUAAAGGAAAAUCUAAAAGACCUAAGAACAAAUUCUAUUAACAGACAUGACAGACUAGUAAUAUCAACAUAACAAAAUCAAGAAAUAGACAGAAUCGACUCCACUAAAUCCCCUAACUCAUAUACUGAAGAAACAAGGUAAACGAGGACUAAAAUAAGUAGAAGAAGAAACUUGCAUGGAUCUGAAUUAACUCGAAUUCCUUUGAGUUUGACUCCCAAAUGAUGUUAUUGGCCUAUUCUUUGCCAAAAUAGGCAAAUAACAUUAUAUGAGGAUCAUUCAAAUAUUGAGGAGUCUCAAUCAGAUGAAAAUUCCCAAAACCCCAAACUCAGAACCCUAGAUCUAAGAUUCGAACAAUUGUGGUUAAAUUUGAAUAAAACCACCUUGGUAUUUAGAAAGAAGGGAGUGAGAAAAGUCUGUGGUGUGAUUUUGGUCGAAUUUGGAUGUUUUAGGGUUUUGGCCGGAGUUUUGAUCUAAGAUUCGAAGAUAUUGGUAGGGAUUCGAAGAUAUUGGUAGGGAUUCGAGAUAUGGGAGUUUGGCAUUUGGAAAGAGGAGGUUACGAGGAGUAUGUUGUAUAAUUUUGAGAGGGAUUGGAGAAUUGCCGCCGGCGGAGGCAAUUUCCGGCCGUGGCGGACGGCAGAACACGGCGACAUUGGGUUAUGGUCUCUCAAGGGGUAGGGCUUGUGAGAGAGACGAAACGGGAUGUGGUAGGGGUGGGUAUGAG